GAAAAAAAAACUAAAAAAAAAAAAAUGUGACAUUAAAAAAAUACAUUUGGGGGAAAUAGUGAAAUGCAACAUCUGUCCUCCCCAGACUUUGGCAUUUUUCGUGCAUUAUCCUCUUUUCUGCCAAACCGUACAGUUUUUAGAGAAAUAUCGU
rnacentral:ribozyme from 1 species